UACGGGAGGCAGCAGUGGGGAAUAUUGCACAAUGGGCGCAAGCCUGAUGCAGCCAUGCCGCGUGUAUGAAAAAGGCCUUCGGGUUGUAAAGUACUUUCAGUCGUGAGGAAGGUGUUAAGGUUAAUAACCUUAGCAAUUGACGUUAGCGACAGAAGAAGCACCGGCUAACUCCGUGCCAGCAGCCGCGGUAAUACGGAGGGUGCGAGCGUUAAUCGGAAUUACUGGGCGUAAAGGGCACGCAGGCGGUUAAUUAAGUUGGAUGUGAAAUCCCCGGGCUUAACCUGGGAAUGGCAUUCAAGACUGGUUAGCUAGAGUCUUGUAGAGGGGGUUAGAAUUCCAUGUGUAGCGGUGAAAUGCGUAGAGAUGUGGAGGAAUACCGGUGGCGAAGGCGGCCCCUGGACAAAGACUGACGCUCAUGUGCGAAAGCGUGGGGAGCAAACGAGGGAUUUAGAUACCCG
rnacentral:rRNA from 1 species